CCUUGAGCUUUCUGAGAAACACUGUACUCUUAAGAAUGACCAUGGGAUCCUGGUUCUUCAAGGAGCGUGGAUUUCUUCCUCAAGGCGUGGGAAAGCUUAAUUCUUACCUGUUCCAGAAAACAGUUGCCGAGUAUACACCAUUUGAAGAGUAAAAGCUUUCUGUGUCUGGGCCUUAUGGAACUUCCACAUUUGCUCAAAUGUUGAGGCACAAAGGUCAAGAAACUUAAUUUGCUGAUUCAUGAAGACAUUACUCAUGCAACUGAUUCAGAAUAUUUAUUCAUUUAAAGAGAAAGCAUACAGAUUCCAGUCUGAAUCCACAGACAUUAUCCAUGGUACAGCACUGGAUACUUACCCAGUCAAUACAGUCUCAGUGCAAGAUAAGAAGAACUAAAAGCAGAAACCAGAAGCAUACCAUGAAGUUCAUGUUCUGAGAAAAGCAGUAAUGCAACAAAUUGGACAAAAUGCCCUCAGCAUGACUGAACUGGCCUGAACUGUUUGUGCCUUGAGAAAUCCUGGAAGGGUUCCUUGGAGCAGGACGCUAUCCUUUUACUGCAAGCUUUACUGAAUCACUGAAGCUAUUCAGUAAGCCACUGUCGAGGCAAACCAAUAAAACGCACAGCAGAUCUUUAGGAAAAGCUAGGUUAACUAAGAUCAUCUACCUACCAAAUGCAAAGGUAUUAUUGCAGCUCUUUUGGUAAUUACAGUG